UAUGAGUAGGGGAGCUCACACAUGUGGGCUGAGAGUAAGCGAAAUGUAGCUUUGACCCUUUACCUGAUUUGGAUAAUGCCAACGUAGGGAAUGAAUGU
rnacentral:ncRNA from 1 species